UCUCUUAUGGGGUUGCCAUAGAGCUUCCUCACCCGGGCGUCGUGCCCUAUAGGUCACCUUGUUCGGCAGCCUCUCUGGUCUGGGAGUCAUUCCUCUCGCUGAGAGUGUUCUCUCAUUUGUGAGUGAGUCGCGUUGUUUGUAGCGUUCUGUAUAGCGUCCGUCUCUGUGUGUGGUGUGUGUGUGGAGCUGUUCUGCCCAGGGCUGUGGAGUCGGGGAUAGGCGGAAUAGCAAUAAGAGCGUACGGUUAGCGUGCCGAUACGGCCCAUACGGAAUUGUUUGGCUCUCACUCGGCAUCUGGGUGACUUGUUUGAUAACUCGGUGUGAUUUUUCCAGAUGCGGACUGGCUAGAUGCCCACCGAAGAGCGGCAGAGGAGGAGAGCAGAGCGCUGUAAGAAGGCACGAAUCGAUGCGCGAACGGGAUAUCCGCACCGGAGCGAACUUAAGCGAGGCGAGCGAUGACAGGUGGCGGUCAGGCCUCGGCACGGCAGGCCGAAGAAUCCGACUCCGAGCGGCCGAGGAAAAGGGACGGGCGAGAGGAAGGCGUUUCCAAGGAGGGCUUCGUCGCAGCGGAGGUCGACGCCGGGCGGCACGUCGGUGACCGGCGACGCUCUGUCUCGUGAGGGAUGAAGCGGAACCCGGCGGAUGGGGGAGCGUCCCGGUUAGAUGACCUUUUCCCCAUGAGAAGGGAAUCUGGAUUCUGCCCUCUGAAAGGUCUCUAGGUUCCGCCGCAGGCGCUCGGCGAGCAUCCGCGGGGUCCGUGACGCCUCGUCGCUUCGGAAUAUGGCCCAUCGAGCGUUUCUCGUCUCGCGAUCGGAGCUUAAAGCGCGCCUCGCAUCGCAGAUGUUUCUGCGAGGUGGCCUUUGUGGAGGUGGUCUGUGCCGGACUCACAGUCGUGCUCUAGAAACUUCCGCCUCAAUUGAAGUUUGAUACCAUCUUUCAUCUCUAUAUGCUGUGGGAUGCUGGACUAGUCCAGGCUUGUUGGUGCCGAAA